UACGAGGGGUGCAAGCGUUGCUCGGAAUUAUUGGGCGUAAAGGGUAGGUAGGUGGUCUCGUUUGUCUGGGGUGAAAGCCUUGAGCUUAACUCAAGAAGUGCCCCAGAAACGGCGAGACUGGAGUCUUGGAGAGGGUCGUGGAAUUCCCGGUGUAGCGGUGAAAUGCGUAGAGAUCGGGAGGAACACCAGAGGCGAAGGCGGCGACCUGGACAAGUACUGACGCUGAGGUGCGAAAGCGUGGGGAGCAAACAGG
rnacentral:rRNA from 1 species